rnacentral:rRNA from 1 species
AGCCGGAAACUUGGUCAAACUUGGUCAUUUAGAGGAAGUAAAAGUCGUAACAAGGUCUUCGUAGGUGAACCUGCGGAGGG